CAAACGGAAGUGUAUGGGCGCAAGCAAAAGCAAGUCCUCUCACUCAAUCCGUAAGGUUAGAGCAGCCCGUCCAACUAAAUCCAGUCUGAUGUCCAGACAGUGUUUACAAAGGCUGGUUCGUAGCUAAGGAUGUGGAGUACAGGUCAUUGUCCGAGGGCGAGGCUGGUAGCAAAGACGGCCACUAAACUGUGGUCCAGCAAGCCUUCAGAACCUUCUCGUCCCGUCCCUUCCGCGCUGCCGCGGCCCCAAACCGAGAAACACAGACGCAGGCGCGAACGGGAGAAGACAAUACUGUCAGUUCAACAUAAUGUGAGUCUGAGAGAACCUACAUUAUUAUCAUUAUUAUA